rnacentral:rRNA from 1 species
UGAUUAGGGUUUGAUUAUGGCUCAGGAUGAACGCUAGCCGGAGGCUUAACACAUGCAAGUCGAGGGGUAACAGGUUGUGCUUGCACAAUGCUGACGACCGCCGCACGGGUGCGUAACGCGUAUAGAACCUACCUUUUACAGAGGGAUAGCCUUUAGAAAUGAAGAUUAAUACCUCAUGGUAUUUUAUUUUGGCAUCGGAAUAGAAUUAAAGAUUUAUCGGUAAAAGAUGGCUAUGCGUCCUAUUAGCUAGAUGGUAAGGUAACGGCUUACCAUGGCAACGAUAGGUAGGGGUCCUGAGAGGGAGAUCCCCCACACUGGUACUGAGACACGGACCAGACUCCUACGGGAGGCAGCAGUGAGGAAUAUUGGGCAAUGGAGGCAACUCUGACCCAGCCAUGCCGCGUGCAGGAAGAAGGUUCUAUGGAUCGUAAACUGCUUUUAUACAGGAAGAAACUUACUCACGUGUGGGUAACUGACGGUACUGUAAGACCGGGCACCGCCUAACUCCGUG